GGGUCGUUAGCUCAGUUGGUAGAGCAGUUGACUCUUAAUCAAUUGGUCGCAGGUUCGAACCCCGCACGACCCACCA
rnacentral:tRNA from 1 species